rnacentral:rRNA from 1 species
AUUGAACGCUGGCGGAAGGGAGAACACAGGCGAGUCGAGCGGAUGAAGGGAGCUUGCUCCUGGAUUCAGCGGCGGACGGGUGAGUAAUGCCUAGGAAUCUGCCGGGUAGUGGGGGAUAACGUCCGGAAACGGGCGCUAAUACCGCAUACGUCCUGAGGGAGAAAGUGGGGGAUCUUCGGACCUCACGCUAUCAGAUGAGCCUAGGUCGGAUUAGCUAGUUGGUGGGGUAAAGGCCUACCAAGGCGACGAUCCGUAACUGGUCUGAGAGGAUGAUCAGUCACACUGGAACUGAGACACGGUCCAGACUCCUACGGGAGGCAGCAGUGGGGAAUAUUGGACAAUGGGCGAAAGCCUGAUCCAGCCAUGCCGCGUGUGUGAAGAAGGUCUUCGGAUUGUAACGCCCUUUAAGUUUGGAGGAAGGGCAGUAAGUUAAUACCUUGCUGUUUUGACGUUACCAACAGAAUAAGCCCCGGCUCCCUUCGUU